rnacentral:lncRNA from 1 species
UGGGGCAGGCGGGCGUCGGAGGGGCAGUUUUGAAGCCCGAGCGAAGAGGCAGAGGGCGGGAUGCGGACGAAGCCAGGGAGUUCACGAAACUUCUGGAGUUCUCAGUUUCCCCCUAAGUCGACUGGGGCUAGGUCCCGUGCCGCCAGGCGGGCUGGCUGAGGGGAUGGGCUGGGGCGACAAGACGGCAGCCGCCUGGCCCGGGUACUUGGGGUCAGACCGGCUUCGAGGCCCCCGGACCGCCGUGUUAUCAGGACGGGUAGGGAGCCCACGGGACGCGUGGUGCUCAGAAGAGCGGGGAGGCGUGUGGACGGGGCCUGCCCGAGCUGCACCACCGCCUGCCUCCAGGCUGCGAGGCCCGCCCAGGCGAAGGCGGCAUCUCAGCCUCUAGCCCUUGGGGACCUUGAGGACGUCCUCUUAUGGGUCAGCCGUUCCUAGGGAGGCUUGUGGCUCCAGUUACUGGAAAAACCAGUGCUGGUUCACGCAGGAGGCCCCAGUACAGGGGGAAACAGAGGCAAGCUGGGGUCUCCCAGGCGGCCUCACCCACCCAGCCCUGUUCCAUGCCAGUCCCUGGACCCUUGGCCCAGUCAGAUGUUCAACUGCUCCAGCCCUGCCUCCACUUCCCUGAAAGAUGCUUUUCCACCCAUCCACCCUCAGCAGCCAGAGGGACCCCGGGAAGAUGGGAGUGAGAGCUGCCUUCGUCUGCAAAAGUCUCCAGACACCACCUCACUGGUGAAGGCCAGAGACCCUAAACUGUCCCAAGACCACCUGACUGGGCUGCCUCCCUGCCACCUGGCUGCCAGCCUCUCUCAGAGCGCCUGCAAGCUAUUCCUCCAACCCAGAGUUUCCUUCCCAGCUAAAGGCCUUUGCACCUGCUGUUCCUUCUGCCUGGAAGUUCACCGCAGACUAUCCCAGGGCCUCCAUCCUUCCCAUUGCAUGGUCCCCAUCAGCUGCCGCCGCCUCUGAGAGCUCAGUCUCCACUGGCCAUCCUGUCUCUCAGCCCACUGCACUCUCCACUCUGCCAGAAAGUCCCCCAAUCAGUGACAACACAGGUCACGGUCCACACCUCACCUGGUUUGUCCCCAGUGCCCAGCAUCUGGCACCGAGCAGGAAGCAGAAGCUAAGCGAAAGCAGAAUCAAGAUUCAAACCCAGGCACGGUGAAACCAGAGCUGUCCAACUGCUAGGAGAAAACGGGGCCUCAGAGAUGAUGGCUGAGCCGUGAAAAGGUGGGGUCAGAAGCCAGGCCCAGUCUCCUGAAUUCCAGACUCCAGAAUCUCCCCCAGGAUUGAGGAAUGUUCCACAGAAAGAAUCCCAGCUCCACCUACCCCAGUCACUGGACCUGCCCAGCCCUGGAGGCAUGGCCAGGAGGAGGCCCCCGCAGGUGGGGGAUUGUUGGAGAGGGAUGCCAACCAUGCAGGACGAUCUAGACAGUGGUGAGGCCCACUGGGGCUGGCAGGAUUAGCAGAUUAGCUCCAAGGAGGACAAAGACGAGGUCAGCGUUAAGUGGAUUUCUGGAAAGCCUCCUCCAGCCCAGCAGGGCCCUACAGGAGGGGCCCAGGCUGGGGGACCUAGAUCCAGCCACGGAGGGCAUGGGUGGGCUAAUGGCACCAGCAGCAGCUCUUGAGCCCCCAUCACUGGGCUGCACACUUUGACCUCUCCUGGCCUCAGUUUCCCCAUCUAUAAAUGUCAUAGUAAUAGCUCCAACCUCACAGGGCUCUUGGGAAGACCCACAAGAUGGUGGCUGUCAAGUGCUGCGUUGCUUCUGCCUGCGCAGAAGUAGAUGUCUUUAUGACUGUCCUUUUGAAUCCUCCUCAAGCCCUGAGCGUCAAACAAAAUAAAAAAGAGCUUGUUGUUCAGUGGUUAGUUAGGUAAACAGGAGCGGGGUGCAGGAGUAUACAUCUAGGAAGAGAGUAAGUGUGCGGAACGAUGCUCUCUGGGCCACUUCACGUCCCCUCUGUUCCCUGAUUUCAGUGGCAGUGGCCCAUUCUGAGCGAGCUUGGACCCUCCUCCUCAGUGCCUGCCUUCCGUGUGUACCAAGCCCUGAAGGGCAGAGGAGGGCCAGCCCUCCGCAGUGUGGCAGGGCUCUGGCGGAUACACCUGCCUCCCAUCUGCAGAAGGACCUUCCUCAGGUGUCCGGCACACUUCUCAGGAGGUCCUGAAACCAGCUGAGACCUCCAUAACACACCUGUGUUGGCUCCCUCACCUGGUCAUCACAAAUAAACCACCUGCACCAAUGUCCCUAUCUCAGGCUCUGCUAUCGAGGGAACCAGCGUAAGCAGCCACGCCCCUGAUGCGAAGAGGAAGCAGGGCUUGAGGGAGGCCAGGACUCGGGGGAUUGGCGUGCAGGAGCUGGGAAAGUCAUUUUCAUUUCCCUCCUUCCCCUAGUUUCGUUAAUGCAGCCACGCUACUGUGAUGGUGACAUUUUCAUUUGUGUAUUAGUUGUGCCUGUAAAACCUGCUCUCUCUC